GACAACAGCUCGUCAACAAGUGUUUGGGCCGUGGGAGCUUGGGAUCAUUCAAGAAAUUUGUGCUGCAGUGCUUUCAGUAAAGCAAGAUUCGUAUAGAAAAGCGAAAUAGUUAAUGAAUAAUUAUACGAAAAGAAGCUGCAAAAUGAUACUACGACACACUUUAACAUGAGUAUCUGAAAUUCCAGUGAACCAGUCAGUUCACCAGCAACAGCUUCUAGUCCUGGCAAAAAGCCAGAAAACAAUGUAAGAAGAAACAUCAACAAUUUAUCAUUUCAGGAGAUCACAACAGAUCUAUGCAUCACACAUGGUAAUCAAGAGUUUGCAGUCAGCAUACUCAGUACUCUUCUUUCUAAAGACGAAAUGAAAUCCUGGAAGAUGUCUUGGGGCUGUUAUCACUUUGUCCAACAGCAUCCUGGAAGAACUGCUACUUUGCAUCACCACAAUUUAAAACAUUCCAGCCACAGAGUUCCAGCACAGCAUAUCCUUUACAGAUGUGGCUAAAAUUAUGUCUGCUAGAUGGCGCGAGUGUCUUCGUUACUCAAGACGAAAUUCCGCCAUUUCUUAAAACACUGAUUGGAAGCCACAUGUUGAAAACGUAUCGUUGGAUUGGAUACUUAAUACGGCGUACUUUCCUUUCUUGACAUUUUUAUUCGUAAUAAUGGUAUUUAUCUGGUAUCAGCCUAUAAUUUCUACAUGGCAAUUUCAUCUGAUCAUGUGGCCUGAGCAGCUGAACAUUUUGCCAAAAUGUCUCUUUUUCCUGUGCCAGCUUCACGUUUGUCAGAAACACUUCAGAACAAUUCAGGAUUAACACCCUGGUAUCUGGUAACAGCCUAUAAUUUCUACAUGGCAAUUUCAUCUGAUCAUGUGGCCUGAGCAGCUGAACAUUUUGCCAAAAUGUCUCUUUUUCCUGUACCAGCUUCACGUUUGUCAGAAACACUUCAGAACAAUUCAGGAUUAACACCCUGGUGGAGUUUGAGCUUCUUUGUUGCUGCCCAACUUACACAUGGAUUUGACGCAGCCAGCUGAGGGCUGUAAUUCUUGUUGAUCAUGUAUGUUCGAGUAGUUGCUGUCCGAUGUGGCACGUUGUUGGCAGUUGUUGAUGUGGCAGCCUAUGCUGGUGAAAGAUAUUUCUCAUCAAGUUCAAUUGGCCGUUCCUUGGUGCUGAUGUUGUUUUACCGAAGUUCCAUCAUAUUUUGUUAAAUUGUCAUCGCGACUAUUGCAGUUUACCGUUUAUAAGUUCAGAAGCAACAACAAAAAUUUGGGAUGUUUAUGUCAACAAAUAAUAAACAUGUUUCCGGGAUUGGGAAAGGAAAGUGGAGGAUGUCGGAGGGGGGAGGGAGGAUAUUUCAAGUUUGGAUAAAAAUUCAGUUAAUCUAUUACCAUACAAAUGUUGCCCUACCAAUUAAUCUCCAAACCCCACAAACAUAUACCUUCCAAUCCUUCAAACCCCGAAAACAUACACCUACUAACCCCUAAAUUUAUACCCUCAACCCUAAAAACCAAUUACCUUAACCAUGUGUAAUAAAUCAAAAUAAAUACGUUGUAUGAACCAA
rnacentral:lncRNA from 1 species